UCAGAGCCUACGUUCGCCAUGUUCAGG
rnacentral:piRNA from 1 species